GUCAUUACUUGCAGUUUACCUAACAAUUCUCACAGGCCGUGCUAAUAACGCGGAGGCCAUGGGUUCGACCCCCAUAUGGACCA